rnacentral:lncRNA from 1 species
UGUGGGAGUGCUAUAAGUGCCGCAUGGCCAUAGGAUCUGGCAGGCGUUUAAUACUGUGAGGGGGGUCUUCCCCUCACUGGCUGAUUUUUUUACUAUAAAAAACUUAACCAUGGCUUGCAAUAGGCAUUAACUGAGGUAGUUUUUGCAACCGCCUCUAAGUAAAAGUCACUGUAAAUCAAUGGUUUACCAAGGAAAUUCAAAUGCCCGC